rnacentral:tRNA from 1 species
GAGUGAUUAACUCAGAUGGUAGAGUUUCUCCUUUACACGGAGACAGUCGGAGGUUCAAUUCCUCCAUCACUCA